rnacentral:lncRNA from 10 species
AGGAAACAAUGUUCCCGGAGCCUGGUGAAAGCUGCCACCACGAGAGGAUCUGUGUGGCAGGAGCUGUGGCCUCGGACAGUGAACACAGGUACUGCCAGAAUUGUGACAAAGCAGGCAUAAAGCCAGCGAAGAAAUACUCUGAUCCUGCCCUCUUGUCACCUUCCAGUCCCCUGCCAGUACCUCCAAUGUGCCAAAAUAAAGCAGAAGCCGGAGAGUAAGGAUUUCAGAUGAGGCAACCAAAAGAGGUUAGGCUGAAGCCUCUGCAUGUCCCGAUGCCUGAUGGAGAUGGAGGAAUCCUUUCUACCCAGACAGAAGUCACACUAUGUAGCCUGUCCUCUUUAGAACAUAACAUUCUCUGGCUAACGGUGAUUAAGCCCCAGGAAACAUAUCCAAGACACCAAGAAGGCCCUCACUGGAUGGCGGUGGCUCAAGCCUGUAAUCCCAGCACUUCGGGAGGCGGAGAUGGGCGGAUCAUGAGGUCAGGAGUUCAAGACCAGCCUGGCCAACAUGGUGAAACCUCGUCUCUACUAAAAAUACAAAAAUUAGCAAGGCGUGGUGGUGCACACCUGUAAUUCCAGCUACGCAGGAGACUGAGGCAGGAGAAUUGCUUUAACCUGGGAAGUGGAGGUUGCAGUGAGCCGAGAUCGCACCAUUGCACUCUAGCCUGGGUGACAGAGCGAGACUCCAUCUCAAAAAAAAAAAGGAAAGCCCUCACUGGAUGUGACCCUUCAAUUCUGGUGUCCCUAGCCUCCAGAACUGUGAGCCAAAUAAAUUUCUCUUCACUAUGAAUUACCUAGUCUGCGGUAUUCUGUGAUAGCAAUAUAAAACAAACUAAGACAGUGGGAGAUAAUAUCACAGAACAGGCCCAAGCCAGAUGAAGCAGACUUUUGUAGGUUGAGGUAAGGAGUUUGACUUUUAUUCUAAAUGUAUUGGGAAGCCACUGGAAAGUUUUAAUUAGUGGAGUAAUAUUUGG